rnacentral:lncRNA from 1 species
UUUACAACGAUGAUGAGAAACUGAUCAUAAAAUUUAUGAAUACAGUACAAAUUAAUAAAGAAAAAUCAGUAUGAGUACUGUGCAAUAUACUGAUAAAAGAAACCUUGGCAAUGGUAUAUCAAAGUGCAAUGGCACAUCUAAACAUAUUUCAUUGGUUGAAUCUAUUUGGAUUCUAGACAUAGUUGCCCAUGCCCAAAUGCACUAGCAUUUUCCGUGUCAAAAUAUUUUUUUUUCCUGAAACUACAUAACUAUUAGCAGCUGUCUGUGUGAGAAUAGAAGGAGGAUUGUUUUUACUUCACUUGAAGAUUAAUGAUAUUUUAGAGCUUCAAAAGAAGUUUUUGAAUCUGGCUUUCAUAGCAGGCACCUCCUUCUUGUCUCCUUUAAUUUUAUUACCACUUUUAAAACAUAAUUAUUCACUCUGUGGCAUAUUAAAAAUAGUCUACAAAGCAAAGUUUUUAUUAGAAAUAAGAUUUUGCUUGCUGUCAACUCUGCAGAAUUCUACCUUUCUCUCUCCUUUACCAGGUAGGAUUAUAAUCAUUCCAAUACAGUCAAUGCUGGCUAAUGGAAAUGUGGGAAAAGAAUGGGGUGGGGAGGUUGAAUUGGUUCUAUUUUCUUUCAGAGUGUUUGUUUUCUGACUCUCCAAAAAAGAUACAGCUAAGUUUAAACUACAAUGUAAAAUAAAUUAUGAAAUAGUGGAAUUGUUAUUCACAUCUUCAAUCCUCUGAUCUAUUAUUAGAGUUAGACCCAGGUGGCACAAGAGUUGCAAACUCAUGCUGGAAAUAAGCAUGGUCUUUACCAGUCUUGUCCUGUUUCUGAUCACUCCACUUCCAAAACCUUAAGUUACUGGCCAGUUUUUAACCUUGUGUGUAAUUCUAGUAGAACCUGCUCAAACAUCUGAGAUUGAAACUUUUGAAAAUAUAUAUAGUACAACUUUAAAAAGGAAUACAAGGUACAACAUGGAUUAAUCUUGAAGACACCAUGCUGAGCAAAAUAAGCCAGACACACCAGGUCAUCCCACUAGCAUGAGGUACCUAGAACAGACCAAGUACACAAUCACAGAAAGUGAAAUGGAUGUUACCAGGGGUUGGGGGUGGGAAAGUAGGGAGUGCUCAAUGAGUAUAGAGUUUCCUUUUGGAAUGAUGAAAAAGGCUGAGAGCCAGAAAGUGGUGAUAGUUGAUAACUGCAUUGCACACUGAAAAAUGGUAAAAAUAGUAAAUUUACAUUAUAUACAUUUUAUUCAAACAAAAAGUCAAUAAAACUUUAACACAUCAUUUAAACUAUAAUUUGAGAAGGCAUUUAUUUUAUUUGGAAUGCUCCAAUGAAAGAAAUAAGAAAUAAAAUGAUUAUGUAUGUCUCAGAUGGCAAAUAAAUAUACAACAGUAUGUUAAAGAAGUCUUACCAAUAGUCGGGUAACUUCUUAUAAAUCAAAAUCAAUGCUGGUUUACAUAGAAUUCAGAAAAGGUAGCUUCUGGUGAUGGUGAUUUAAGGGAUUCAGCUCAGAUGCACUGAAUGCCCAGUUUACCUGGCUUGUAUGUCUGUACUGCAGACGUGGAAAGAUCAAGCUAUGCAAGUUAACCUACUCUCAGUGAUCACACCACACCACCAGCCCAAGAUCUGUGUCCCUACUCCAUCGUGGGUCAGCCAAACCAUGAAAAUUUGAAAUGGCAAGAUCUUUUACACCACAAUCGAAGGAAUGCUGACUACUAACUAUUUCCAGGAUGGGACUAUACACUGAACAGAAUCACAAAAUCCAACUUGACAGGAAUUAACAAGAAAUUGUGGCUAUUGUAUUUUGUUAAUGAAUUUUGCCUUCUUCACUGAAAGGAUCUUUAUAGAAAAUCUGAUCCUGCUUUGAAACUAUUAUUAAUUAAAAUAGCUCCUAUCGUUUCUAAGCUCCAACUCUGCCAGCUGUGUUAUAAACACUAUCUGUAAAAAUAGUAACAAUGAAGCUGAACAUCAUUUAUUCCAUGUAUAAAGGUGGAAUCAGACUCAAAGAGGCUGAUCUUUGCUCAAGGCCACCUCUUGACUGAGUGGCAGGGCCUGUGUUUGCAUCUCUGCUGCUCUGCCCUGCAUUCUGAAGGGUCCCACACUCAUUGGUCAUUCUGCUAAUUCCAGGGCUGCAACUUCUUGAUUUCUUACUUUCUGAGACCUCUAUUCCCUGGUCAACUUUUUUAAGUGGUUAUUCUUUGUGCACCAAUUCAAACAAAUUGGACACUUCAUUGCAUUUUCUCACCAUUCUCUCUGGUGUAGCAGGCAUGCUUUAUUUUCAGUCAUAUUGCUUGGACUGGGAUUGUGCUUUCCUCUGUUCCCAAUUGUUCUGUCUCUGCCAGAUAAUUUUCACAAUAAAAUCAGCUUCUCCAAGACCAGCAGAGAGACCAUCUGAUUAAAAUCACUAUUAAAGAAAGGGAAAAGACAAAACUCUGCCAAUAACAUAUCAAAUAUCCAAUGAAUAAUCAAUGACCUAGUUAUAAGUGAAGCAUGCAUUAACUUUGAGGAAAACCAUGUUUAAAAAAAGUUUAUAACAUGAAUCUCUGACUAAAAAUAACUUGCACAAAUUUUCAAGGGGUCAAGACUGUCUUUUCAAACCAUUAAAAUUUUAAAGUAGCCACUAUUUUGUAAAGAAAAAUGUGGAUUUUUAAACUCUUAACUCAACUUUUUCUUUCUGAAACCCAAAGUUGACAAUAUAUGCAGAUUCAGACGUCUAGUAAGCUAUUCCUCUGAACACUGAUAGAAGAAUUUUGUAAACUGUACACAUUUAAUGGAUCAAGUUUUUAUGAUAUUUGCUGGUAGUUCUAGAAAUAUGAGAAACUAGCUGAUUUUGUUUUUCAUUUGUUUUACAAGUUCUGGCAUAAAACUUGGUAGAAGACUUAGUUAUUUAGUAGCAUUGCAAUAAGAUUUAGUGGGAUGUUAUGGUUAUACCAAAAAAAAAAUAGCAUUGGAAAUUGGCCCCCAUCACCAUUGAC